GCAGUCGCCGCGGUAAUACGGAGGAUCCAAGCGUUAUCCGGAAUUAUUGGGUUUAAAGGGUCCGUAGGCGGUCUUGUAAGUCAGUGGUGAAAGCCCAUCGCUCAACGGUGGAACGGCCAUUGAUACUGCAGGACUUGAAUUAUUGGGAAGUAACUAGAAUAUGUAGUGUAGCGGUGAAAUGCUUAGAGAUUACAUGGAAUACCAAUUGCGAAGGCAGGUUACUACCAAUUGAUUGACGCUGAUGGACGAAAGCGUGGGUAGCGAACAGGAUUAGAUACCCCCGUAGUCCCUGUCUCUUAUAC
rnacentral:rRNA from 1 species